rnacentral:rRNA from 1 species
GAUGAACGCUGGCGGCGUGCCUAAUACAUGCAAGUCGAGCGAACAGAUGAGGAGCUUGCUCCUCUGACGUUAGCGGCGGACGGGUGAGUAACACGUGGAUAACCUACCUAUAAGACUGGGAUAACUUCGGGAAACCGGAGCUAAUACCGGAUAAUAUAUUGAACCGCAUGGUUCAAUAGUGAAAGACGGUUUUGCUGUCACCUAUAGAUGGAUCCGCGCCGCAUUAGCUAGUUGGUAAGGUAACGGCCUACCAAGGCAACGAGGCGUAACCGACGGGGUAGGGUGAUAGGCCACCCUGGAACGUGACCAGCGUCAAGGCUCCUACGGGAGGCAGCAGUAGGGAAUCUUACGCAAUGGGCGAAAGCAUGACGGAGCAACGCCGAGUGAGUGAUGACGGUGUUCGGAUCGUAAAACUCUGUUAUUAGGGAAGAACAAAUGUGUAAGUAACUAUGCACGUAUUGACGGUACCUAAUCAGAAAGCCACGGCUAACUACGUG